AGAAAGGAGAAAACACAUAUCGAGUAAGGAUUUAUAUCUUAUAUCUUAUUUUGUCCAGAGUAUGACAAAUCGAACACAGUUUCCCUUUAGAUUUGUAAAGAAGUUAAAUUCAAUAAGCCUUUUAUUUGUUGAAAGCUCUAUUUGUUGAUCCUCUCCCAGCAUUUCGUCCAAACAGUAAUUUUUUUACUUAAUUUUUGUUUGCUCAACAACAAUUCCAUUUUAAUCUGAAACUUAAGCUGGGCUCUAACUUGUUCCCAAGGAAUGUCCCUAUCAUUUUCCCAACCUCUCACAAUCACAAUUUUGGCGGCUAAAAAAAGAUGAGUAAGAAUAAUUUUCGACUCAUACGUCAUUACCGGCCAAUUAAGAUGGAGC